rnacentral:rRNA from 1 species
UACGUAGGGUGCGAGCGUUGUCCGGAAUUAUUGGGCGUAAAGGGCUCGUAGGCGGUUUGUCGCGUCGGGAGUGAAAACACCGGGCUUAACUCGGUGCUUGCUUUCGAUACGGGCAGACUAGAGGCAUGCAGGGGAGAACGGAAUUCCUGGUGUAGCGGUGAAAUGCGUAGAUAUCUGGAGGAACACCGGUGGCGAAGGCGGCAUCCUGGACCGGUAUUGACGCUGAGGCGCGAAAGCCAGGGGAGCAAACGGG